rnacentral:ncRNA from 1 species
AAACAAAAUAGGCAAGCUAGAGAAAUCUAGUGACGCAAAACUAUAGGAGCUAAAGUAGAAACUAUGCUAGCCAGUUGCAAAA